rnacentral:rRNA from 1 species
ACUCCUACGGGAGGCAGCAGGAAGGAAUCUUGCGCAAUGGGCGAAAGCCAGACGCAGCGACGCCGCGUGGGUGAUGAAGGCCUUCGGGUUGUAAAGCCCUUUUCCGAGGGAAGAGAAGGGACGGUACCUCGGGAAUAAGCCUCGGCUAACUACGUGCCAGCAGCCGCGGUAAU